AGAUUAACUUUUUGGUCGUGCUAUUGUACGUACUGGUAUUAUUGAUUCCUACCUUCUGACGAACCACAAUGUCAUUAAUUUGGUGUCAUGGGGAAUCAGGACUGUUACUUUGAAAAAAUUAGAGUGUUUAAAGCAGGCAUACGCUUGAAUACAUUAGCAUGGAAUAAUGAAAUAGGACGUUUGAUUCUAUUUUGUUGGUUUCUAGGAUCGACGUA
rnacentral:rRNA from 1 species